UCGUGAGAUGUUGGGUUAAGUCCCGCAACGAGCGCAACCCCUAUUUUCAGUAGCCAGCAUGUAAAGAUGGGCACUCUGGAGAGACUGCCUGGGAUAACCAGGAGGAAGGUGGGGAUGACGUCAAAUCAUCAUGCCCCUUAUGAUCAGGGCUACACACGUGCUACAAUGGCGUAAACAAAGGGAAGCAAAGCGGUGACGCCAAGCAAAUCCCAAAAAUAACGUCUCAGUUCGGAUUGUAGUCUGCAACUCGACUACAUGAAGCUGGAAUCGCUAGUAAUCGCGAAUCAGAAUGUCGCGGUGAAUACGUUCCCGGGUCUUGUACACACCGCCCGUCACACCAUGGGAGUCGGAAAUGCCCGAAGUCAGUGACCUAACCGAAAGGGAGGAGCUGCCGAAGGUGGAGCCGGUAACUGGGGUGAAGUCGUAACAAGG
rnacentral:rRNA from 1 species